rnacentral:rRNA from 1 species
CGGUGGCGAUACCGAAGAGGUCACACCCGUUCCCAUCUCGAACACGGAAGUUAAGCUCUUCAGGGCCGAUGAUACUGCACCUGCGAGGGUGUGGGAAAGUAGGACGUUGCCG